rnacentral:rRNA from 1 species
UGGGGAAUAUUGCACAAUGGGCGCAAGCCUGAUGCAGCCAUGCCGCGUGUAUGAAGAAGGCCUUCGGGUUGUAAAGUACUUUCAGUCGGGAGGAAGGUGUCAAGGUUAAUAACCUUGGCAAUUGACGUUACCGACAGAAGAAGCACCGGCUAACUCCGUGCCAGCAGCCGCGGUAAUACGGAGGGUGCAAGCGUUAAUCGGAAUUACUGGGCGUAAAGCGCACGCAGGCGGUUGAUUGAGUCAGAUGUGAAAUCCCCGGGCUUAACCCGGGAAUUGCAUCUGAUACUGGUCAGCUAGAGUCUUGUAGAGGGGGGUAGAAUUCCAUGUGUAGCGGUGAAAUGCGUAGAGAUGUGGAGGAAUACCGGUGGCGAAGGCGGCCCCCUGUACAAAGACUGACGCUCAGGUGCGAAAGCGUGGGGAGCAAACAGG